UACGUAGGGUGCGAGCGUUAAUCGGAAUUACUGGGCGUAAAGCGUGCGCAGGCGGUUUUGUAAGCCAGGUGUGAAAUCCCCGGGCUCAACCUGGGAAUGGCAUUUGGGACUGCAAGGCUGGAGUGCGGCAGAGGAGACUGGAAUUCCUGGUGUAGCAGUGAAAUGCGUAGAUAUCAGGAGGAACACCGAUGGCGAAGGCAGGUCUCUGGGCUGACACUGACGCUCAUGCACGAAAGCGUGG
rnacentral:rRNA from 1 species